AAAACUUUCAACAACGGAUCUCUUGGUUCUGGCAUCGAUGAAGAACGCAGCGAAAUGCGAUAAGUAAUGUGAAUUGCAGAAUUCAUUGAAUCAUCGAAUCUUUGAACGCACAUUGCGCCCUUUGGUAUUCCGAAGGGCAUGCCUGUUCGAGCGUCAUUACA
rnacentral:rRNA from 1 species